UGGCUGACUGCGGCAAAGUCUCGCCGGAAAAGGGUCAUACAUUUUUUGGGUUUAUUUUUGAAGCUUCAGGUGUUCCUCUGUUCUUUCUUGGAUUUCUUCGUUCGAAUCGGAUUUUGGAUUUGUUUUCUUUGGGGCUGAUUCGUAACCGAUCGGGGGAGUCGAGGUUCUGGUCUUCAAGGUUCUCGGGAAGGCUCUUAUUCUCUAUUAAGUCAAUCGAAAGCUCUUGAGAUCCAAUUCUACCUUUUCUUUUUCUUCUUCUUCUUCUUCUAAUUUUGAUGUGAUUAUGAAUGAUUUGUGUGGUUGGCAUGUUUGAAUCCCUGUUUGUUGUUUGUUUGAUGUUGGAUUUGCAGUUGAAAACUUGAUGAUGAAUGGCGUAUUGAAUUAGUUUAAUCAUGUUGAGAAUUGAAAACGUAUAAAAAUAAGCGUGAUUAGUUGGUAUUAAUCAAUUGGUGUUUGUUUGAUGCAAAAUAGGCAUCAUAUUUGCUAAAUUUGAAUAAUAUCAUAUUUUAGAUCGAAACUAGUAGGCAAACGAUGGGUUCAGAUAGGCAAGUUUAGAACCUGUGGAUUGUGGAAUGAUUUGAAUAUGUGUCGAAUGGUCUUAUUUACCGCAUUUUGAUAAAAUGUAUUCAUUUGGCCGGGGAAUGGCUCGAGUGAUUUGUAUUGAUUUAUCCGGGGAAUGCCCCGAAGUAUCUUGUACUUGAAGGACGUUCGUGAUGAGGGCCCGAGAUAUCGGGUGAAGCAUUGGAGUUUAGUCUAGGACUAGUUUAGGAUAUGAUUUAUAUUUGUUUGCAUUUUUAUAUUUUGGAAUGUAUAAUUGGACUGAACACUAAAUUUUGGAUUGUUUUGUUUUGUUUUUCUUGACUGAUUGUUUUGCAUGCUUUGUGUGGUUUAUACAUUCGUAGUGUUUAAAUUAGUCGAUAUGCUCCGCCAUGCGACCGUGAUCGAACUACGGGAUCGAGGGGUGCCUAACACCUUUCCCUCGGUCAACAGAUUUCCUUAGCCGGAAUCUCUGUUCGUGGAUCAGUUUUAGAGACAAAAUCGUUUUGAAAAGGAUUUUCCAAAGGUGACUUGGCACACCAGAUUAUGUCAAGUGGCAACUCUGAGUUUUGAAUAUAAAAGGUCCUUUUUCGAAACAAAUUUUCAUCUUUUGUCACUUUAAUAAUAAAACCCUUUCAAACCUUAAAACGAAUUCUUUGGAUGUCGAAAAAGGGGUGUGACAGCUCUGACGACUCUGCUGGGGAGUCUGUUCAGAAUUCAAGCUUAUUUUGUUGUCGUAUCGGCUUUGUUUGGCACUAUAGGUGUAUAAAUAUUUUUUUUAUUGUUUUGUGUUAUUGUUUUAUCAUUAUGGAAUGUUUUCGUGCUCUUUGUGUACAGUAUUUAUCCUAUGUGUUACCGCUUUUAUAUCUGGUAUCAUGUGUCUACCCCCCGGCCUUCUUUAUGCAACAAGUCCUUAGUACAUGUGUUGUACACGACCUCUAGUUGAGUCAUCCUUAUUUUAGGGGGGGAGCCGUCGGUGUUAUGGAGUAGGUGGAAAGCUGUUGCAGCCACUAUUGACGAUACGCUCCCCCGAACAGUCUUGUUAGUGAACCCCAACUUAGGUCAGCCUUUAGGUCAUGCUCACGUGCAUCAUAUUAAGACCUAGUGGGGUCCACUUGGUCCUUUGUAGGAGACUCACCUCUAAAGCAUCCCUACGUGCUAAAUGUUGCAUCUUUGAGGAUAACGUGGUCAUUUGACGGGCUGAUUUGGAAAAAACAUCUGUUAGAAGUAAAGUGUGUGGGUAAUGAAAAAAUAGAGAGAGAAAAAAAAAACAAAAACAAAAAAAAAAGAGUUUCGUAGUUUUUAGAGUUUUUUAUGAUUUUUAUUUUUCACAAUUCCAAAAUUCAAAAGGACUUUUUUUUUACCUUUCGCACUCAUUUUCUUAAAAAUAUCAAAAAGAUUUUCCUUUGUCUCGUUUAGCAUGCAUUCACAAUUCGAAAACUUCAAAAAGAAUUUUUUUCCAUUCAUAGGAUGUGUUUAUAAAAGAAAAUUCAAAAAAAAAAAAGAGGUGUUAGAAAUUUUUUACAUUUUAGUAUAACGAAAAUACCAAAAAGAUUUUCUGUCAUAGUUGUUGAUGUCAUUUUUCUGUGAAGUAUCAAAAUAAAAAAUCAAAAGAUUUUACUAACAUGGUUCAUCGUCUGUCUUUGGUCGUAUCUCUUAAGUCAGGGUCUAACCUGUUAUUUAAUUAUUAAUUAUCUAAUCUGAACGAACUACGCGUACCUGAUUCCCGUCCCUUGGGUCAGGAUACGUAGGCAACCCUUGGUGGGUCUGGUAAUUUUUAUUUUUAUUUUUUGGCCUUUGUCUUAGACUUAGCCUGGGUUUUCAUUCUCGUAAUCUAGUGUUGUCAAUUAAUUCUCGCCAAGUAGGCUAAUUUCAUUCGGCGGUACUGUUCGGUGAAUUUGAGUUAUAUGUCAGUCUGUCCCUCUAUGUCACACGAUAUUUUUUUCUAAGAUGAAAUCCCGAGGGUUGGGAAUUCCUUGUCUUGUUUUGAAUUUUUGAGUUGUAAGUUUGGCUUGUUAUUACAGGAUGAAGCCUAUAGGGUGUAGAGUCUUGAUGGUUUCCAAAGUACCCAAAAAUUUAAUAAAGUGGUGGAGCACGUUCAACUACGCUGACCAGCAAGAGCUAUUUAAGAUAUUAGGUGAUCUUACGGAACUUCUACAUGUCCCACCCCGUACAAACCUAAUAGAUGCUGUGAUGACCUUUUGGGAUCCGAGUAAUUUGGUGUUUAGGUUCGGAAAGUGUGAAAUGACGCCUACGUUGGCAGAAUUAUCUGGUCUGCUUCAUUUGCCUUAUAUUGACAAAAGUAUGAUCCGAGCUCGGAAUCACUCGGGCAAUAGAUUUCUACAAGGGUGUGGUUUGAAGAGUAAUAACGGACAUUUGGGUUGUCUGAAUCAAUCAUGGAUUUCUUUAGACUUUCUAUUCGCUAUAUUUGGGUCCUUGAAAGGUUUUGAUUGCUUUUGGGAUGAAUUUCAUAUGACUAAGGAGAAGUGGGAGAGAAAUUAUCUUGAAGUCUUCACCCUUUCUUUGUUAGGCAUUUUGGUGUUUCCACUAGAAGAAAGACAUAUUAAUACCCAUUUGCAAUCUGUGGUGAUGGCUGUAUUUCAUAAGGAUCAAAAUGAUAAGGGCACUAUUCAAAAGGGGAAGGUCGUUGAUCAAAAGGGCAGGUUCUCUCUCAUACCCAUGAUCUUAACAGAAAUAUAUAUGGCUUUAACCGAAGUGAAGGGGGGAUGAGAUUUUUUUAGGGUAGUAACCUGAUAUUGCAUUUAUGGAUGAUGGAGCAUAUGCAUGCCCCUUCUUUAGUUAGACUAGACGUGGUUGAUCAUUAUAUUCCCAAUCGAGUGAAAGCUAUGGACUUCAGGUUGCGUUUGGAUAAAUUCUCGCUACCCGUGGGAGUCGACGCUUGGAUUGAAUUUCUUGAGUCAAGAACUGGGGAUAACAUUUUGUGAACUUAUCUGUGGCUUCGACCAAAGAUAAUCUUGUUUGGUUGUCAGACGCAGCUUCUUUUAGUUNNNNNNNNNNNNNNNNNNNNNNNNNNNNNNNNNNNNNNNNNNNNNNNUCUUCUGAAGGAUGUUGAGUACUUCAAGGAUCAAGCCUUAGGUGAGAGCAAGUACGAGCAGUUUUGGAAGCAUGCAACAAAGCUAGGUGUGGACACACUCAAAGAAAGUUUAGAUAAUCUAGGGUACACUCAGGGAUAUGGGGUCUGGCUUCAAUCUAUCCCUCGGGGUAUCAGUCAACCCUUACCAGCGCAACUUAGAAGGAGAAUACAGGAAGAAUGCAUAGUUGACGACACUGAGAGUUCAAUUAGCAGAUUUUUUCAAGAUUGUAGAAAGGUGUCAAAACAAUCUUUCUAAUUGCACUCCUCAUGAGGCAGGAAUACGGGCCCGAAGCUUCUUCCCCAAUAUCAGGGUGUCUUUGCAGGACAUGCUACAAAGUUUGAAUGGGAGAAAGAGAACUUCACAGGUAGGUCCAUCUCAGCCUGGGUCAUCACGCAGAGCACCAGUCUGAAAGAGCAUUUCUUAUCUUUAUUCAAUUUAGGUCUUUUAUGUUUCUGUCAUUGUAGGGUGGCGUCUGUUUUAAGUAGGAGUCAAGUUGUUUUUGGUAUUAGGAUCUUUAUCAGUAAUUUCAUGUAUGUCGUCUUAGGGGUCUAGAAUGUUAUUUUGUAUUUGUUGUUUAGUUUUUAAAGCAGUCCUAAAUUCGUUGCAUGUUUUGUUUCUUUCUUUCAUCAAAAUGUUAUGAGGUUACGUCUUUCUUUUGUUUGUUUGUUUUCGUUUUCACGAAAAAAAAACUUCAAUUAUGUGAUGUUUAUGCAUAUGCUUCCUAAACUACGCAAGAUCUGAUUCAUGUAUAACAUGAUACGUAGGCAACCUACUUUUGGGUUUGAUCUAAUCAUUUUGUUUCGUUGUUUUUCAUUUUUUUUAAAAGAAAAGCAAAAGCCAUAAAGAAAGAUAAAAUGUAGGUAGAUAGCGAGAGAAGAAAAGAAAGAAAGGAUGAUGAAAAAAGAUAGGAAAAGAACAGAGAUUGAUACAAAAAAAAAAGAGGGAAAGGAGGGCGAAAAUAAUAAUAAUACUAAUAAGCGUAGAUAAAAAUAAGUGUAGAUAAAAAUUGGGAUGAUGUUAAAAUGACCUCGCUAUCCUCAAAAUCUGGUAGAAAUGAACAUGAAUUUAGGACAAUUUUACCAAUGUGAUUCCCAUGCUUGUUGUGUGCCCUAAUCCUAACGGAUGUCGUCUUUGAUGAGCAUGUUCUUUCAGAUAACAGUGGUAGGUUUGCAGCACUCUGGCUAGUCACUCAUACUUUAUUAGAGCAAAAGCAAAGCUCGCCAUGGCUAGCAGGGAGAUUGAAAAUUUGCUCAUUGACCCGGAUUAGGAUCAUAGGGAAGAAAGUUCAGAACAAAAUGAUGAGGUAGUAAGGCUCAGGCAAUAAUUGAUAGAUUUGCACCAGGCAUGGGCCAGCGGAAUGCCUCCUCCUCCGCUCCCUGAAGGUCUUGGGAAUAUCUCUAAUUGCCCACCACUCUCUCAGGAGCAAUUUUCUGCUCCUAUUGAGUCACUAGAGCACGCGCCAAGAUUCACUCCGCGAUAUUAUUAUUCUGGCAGUUCUGGUGUGCCCUUGGCAGCUGCCCAAUCAAGACCCGCUGCUCAGCCGGCGCCACCGAUCACACCGGUAUUCAUGGCUCUGCCACCACCUGAAGCUCCCACAUAUGUUGUGCGUCCGACAAUGGGGAUUCCUAGGUCUGCCAGUGAGCCAGUAUUGAAGGUUCCAGAUAGUCAAUAUUAUGUCCCGGAGCCUACUUUGAGAAUGAAUGAACCGUAUAGGUACACUCUUCCACCUGCAUUUCCAUUUGAUACGGAGAAACCUGUCGUAACAGAGGAACAGAAAGUCAUAGCACGAAAGUUGAAAAGCUUAGAACAAGACAUGAGGAAUUUGCAGGGAAUCGAAGGUUAUAAGAGUGUUUCCUAUAAAGAUCUUUGCAUGUUCCAAGAUAUCAACCUUCCCCUCGAUUUUAAAAUGCUCAAGUUCGAGAAGUAUGCAGGGCACGGUGAUCUCGUGGCACACUUGAGACGUUAUUACAACCAAUUGAGGGCUGCAAAAAGAAGGGAAAAGCUGCUCAUGGCUUUCUUUGGUGAGAGUCUUCCUGAUCUAGCUUCAGAAUGGUUUAUCGAUCAAGAUAUCGACAAGUGGAACAACUGGGAUGACUUAGCUUCUAAGUUUGUGCAACAUUUUCAAUAUAACAUCGACCUGAUUUCGAACGAAAAAUCUUUGGUCAACAUGAAGAAUAAAAGCACUAAAGGUUUUAGGGAAUACGUGAUAAGGUGGUGUGAACAGGCCGCCAGGCUAAAGCCUCCAAUGAAAGAAAGUAUGUUGGUAGAGUUUUUCAUUCAGGCACGGGAUGAGACCUAUUUUCAAUAUUUACUUUCGGCAAUGGAAAAGUCUUUUAUUGAAGUCCUCAAAAUGGGGGAGAUGAUAGAAGACGGAAUCAAGACCGGCCGAAUAGUGAGUUUUGCCGCAUUGAAAGCCACCACACAAGCGAUUCAAGGUGGAUCUGGCGUAUUCGGAGGUAAAAAGAAGAAAGAGGACGUGGCGGCUGUCGUAGCUGGAACCCAUUCCCAUCCCAAAAGACCACCUCGCCCCUAUCCCCAAUCCCAAGCCCAAGUCUAUGCCCAAGCUCCAUAUAUUCCUCUCCAUCAUUACUACCCUCUACAAAACCCUUUAUAUUUUACUCCACCACCCUCGUACCCAGUAUAUAGCGCACAACCAUAUGCCCAAACCCCUUCUUACCUACAAUGGCGCGCGCAAUCCCCACAAAAUCGUCCAUUCGCUCCACCGAAUUACCAAAACCCCUCCAUACCCGAUUUUCAACCUAGGCUCGAGUAUAAGAAAGAUAAGGCGGUAAAAAAUCAAUUCACAUAUCUUGGCAAGUCAUAUGCUAGCUUGUUUGAUAGGUUGAGAAAGUUGAAGGUCUUAAGCCCAAUUCAAGGAAGGCUUUCAAAUCCACCACCGAGGAAUCUCGAUUAUUAUUUAAGGUGUGCGUACUGUUCUGACAUACCAAGCCAUGAUAUGUAGAAAUACUGGUAUUUAACGAGAGCUAUCCAAGAUUUAAUUGACACAAAUCAGAUGCUAGUACAAGCCCCGGAGGGUCCAAACAUUAACCAGAAUCCGCUGCCAACCCAUGCUGAAACCAAUAUGUUAGAAUUGAUAUAUGAUGAGAAAGAGUCGUCAAGGUGUUAUAAGCCUAUCGUCAAGAUACAGACCAUUGAGGAGAAAUCAGUGAAUGUAGCAGAGUCUUUGAAAGCAAUGUCAUUGAGCCAGGAAGGAAUGAGAGAAAAUAAAGCCCAAGAAAGCACAAAGAAACCCUUAAUCACUGUGCGAGGUGCCAGAAGGUAUGUAGAUUUAAGUCAGGAUAAACCUAAGUUGACAGUGUAGGAGCUCUGUGUAAGCCCAUCUUGACGGUGAAAAGAGCAUUGACAGCGUCUAUUAUCCUCAAACUGGUGACCCAACCUCCGAUAGUUGAUACGAAAAGGAUUCCCUGGAAUUAUGGGCAGACUGUGAUGACCUAUCAUGGGAAAGAGAUAGUGGAAGAUGUAGAUGAGGUAGGGGGUUUGACUAGGUCAGGAAGAUGUUUCGUGCCUGAAAGUUUAAGAAAGUCCAAGUCAAUUAUGAGUGGACCGUCAUCUAUCAAAAAGCCUAUCACCGAAGAAGAAGCCGAAGAAUUUUUGAAAAAGAUGAAAUUGCCAGAGUAUUCAAUAAUAGACCAGUUAAAGAAAACCCCUGAUCAAAUUUUUCUCUUAUCUUUGUUGUUGCACUCCAAGGAGCAUCGUAAUAUUUUACUGAAGGUAUUAAAUGAAGCAUAUGUUCCUAGGGAGAUUACAAUAAAUCAGCUUGAGAAAAUGGUCAGAAAAAUCUUUGAGGUCAAUCGGAUUAGCUUUUCUGACGAUGAAUUGCCUGUUAAAGGUACAGGGCGUAACCAGGGCCUUUAUACUACAGUAAAGUGGGAAUAUUUCUACGUCACUCAUGUUAUGAUUGACGGAGGUUCAGGUGCAAAUAUCUAUCCUAUUUCUACUUUGCAAAAGUUGAAUAUUGGUGCUGAGAAGAUCAAGCCCAAUAAUGUAUGUGUCAGGGCUUUUGAUGGUACAAAAUCAAACUUCAUUGGCGAAAUAGAACUAAUGUAGAUCAUAGGGCCUGUUGAAUUCGCUAUAGAGUUUCAAGUGUUGAAUAUAGACCCCUCUUACAAUCUGUUGUUGGGAAGACCGUGGAUCCACAAGGCCAAGGCGGUUGCAUCUACACUGCACCAAAUGAUUAAGUUUGAGCAUAAUAGGCAAAAAGUGGUUAUUCAUGGUGAAGGAGAUUUUUCCACCUGCGAAGAUUCUCCCUUGUCUCUUAUUGAAGCAAAUAACGUAGAGGAGACAUUCGUCUAUCAAAUUUUUGAUACAGUGCCAGUGAAUCAUAUCCUUGAAUGGCAGGUUAUACCGGGAUCGCAAUUGUCUUCCGCUUCUAUCAUGAUGGUGAGUGAACUUUGGAAAUACGAAUUUGAGCCAGGAAAGGGUUUGGGAGCGUCUCUGCAUGGUAUAGUUCGUCCUAUAUGUCCGAGUGAGAACAUGGGCACAUUUAGUCUGGGAUUUGAGCCUACGGCUGAAGAUCUGAAGAAAUCCAAGGGAAGGAAAAAGGAAACAUGGUCACAGAACCUUUUUAUUGAAGUUGAUAUGGUCAAAGCAGGAGAAAGCACCAGUAUGGCAGACGUGCAAUUCUUAGGUCCAGCCGUCUGACUCAAUAAUUGGGAAGUCACUCCUCUCCCCAUCAUGAGGGAGUUUUGGUAGUUUAUUUUGUUUUUGUUUCUGUUUAUCUGAGUUAUUUCAGAAUUGUAAUUCGGACUUUAGUUUGUUUAUGUUAUGUUGGCAUCUAUGCUUAAACCCUUCUAUCUUUUUAUUUAAUGAAAUGCAAUGUCCUUUUUAUUUCGUGUCUAAUAUAUUUUAUUUUUAUUGUUUUUUAUAUACAGUUAUCUUUUUGCUGAUUCUAAUGACAUGACGUGCAUGCGGAAUUUUCAGCCUGAUCUUAAAAUUCAAACUAAUCAAGAUGUAAUGAAGCGGGAUGGGGAAUAUGAUGAAGAAGAAGCACUAGAAGAAAUAAGCAAAGAGUUGUAACAUUUUGAAGACAAACCAAAUCCUAAUUUAAAUGAGACUGAGCCAAUAAACCUAGGGAAUCAAGACGAUGUUAGGGAAACUAAAAUCAGUGUACAUGCUUUGCCACAGCUAAAAGAUGGAAUGAUUCAAGCAUUAAUUGAUUAUAAGGAUGUUUUUGCAUGGUCUUAUGAUGAUAUUCCUGAUUUAAGCACUGAAUUAGUGGCUCACAAAUUGCCAAUUGACACUACAUUUCCUCCUGUCAAACAGAAGUUGAGAAAGUUUUAAAACUGAUGUAAGUAUUAAAAUCAAAGAGAAAAUCAUGAAACAACUUGAAGCCAAAGUAAUUCGAGUGGCUCGUUAUCCCAUGUGGUUAUCCAAUGUUGUUCCCGUACCAAAGAAAGAUGGAAAAAUUUGAGUAUGUGUUGAUUACCGUGAUUUGAACAGAGCAAGUUCAAAAGAUGAUGUUCCACUGCCCAACAUCCAUAUUUUGCUAGACAACUGUGCUAAACACGAGGUUGCCUCUUUUGUGGAUUGCUAUGCCGGAUAUCACCAGAUCAUUAUGGAUGGUGAAGAUACGGAGAAGACGUCUUUUAUCACACCAUGGGGGACCUAUUAUUAUCGAGUGAUGCCGUUCGGUUUGAAGAAUGCUGGAGCAACAUACAUGAGAGCCAUGACCACUAUAUUUCAUGAUAUGAUGCAUAAGGAGAUUGAGGUAUACAUGGAUGGUGUGAUUAUUAUGUCAAAAAGUCAGGCCGACCAUGUUAGAGAUUUAAGAAAGUUCUUUGAAAGGCUUCACAGGUAUAAUCUCAAGCUCAACCCGGCAAAAUGUGUAUUUGGAGUUCCGUCUGGAAAGCUGUCGGGGUUUGUGGUCAGCCAUCGGGGGAUUGAAUUGGAUCCCUUAAAAAUCAAAGUCAUUCAGGAUUUGCCCCCGCCCAAGAAUAGGAUGGAGGUAAUGAGUUUGCUUGGUAGACUGAACUAGAUUAGCAAGUUUAUUGCUCAACUCAUAACCACUUGUGAGCCCAUAUUUAAGUUGCUGAAAAAGAGUGCUGUGGUAGAAUGGACUGAAGAAUGUCAGGAGGCGUUCGACAAAAUCAAAAGAUAUUUGUCAAAUUCGUCCGUGCUGGUACCACCGGAGCCUGGUAGGCCUUUGAUCUUAUAUUUAUCAGUCAUGAACAAUUCUUUUGGUUGUGUCCUGGGUUAACAUGAUGCCACAGCCAAAAAAGAGCAGGCUAUUUAUUAUCUUAGCAAGAAGUUCACCGCAUAUGAGGCCAGGUAUACUCUUCUUGAAAGGACGUGUUGUGCCCUAACUUGGGUAGCACAGAAGUUAAAGUAUUAUCUCUCAUCCUAUACUUUUUAUCUCAUCUCCCGCAUGGAUCCUUUGAAGUAUAUCUUUCAGAAGCCUAUGCCGACAGGUCGAUUGACAAAGUGGCAAAUAUUGCUUACCGAGUUCGAUAUUGUAUAUGUGAGUCGAACUGCCAUGAAAGACCAAGACUUGGUAGAUCAUCUUGCUAUAAUCCCAUCGAUGAAAAGUAUGAGCCAUUAAAGACAUAUUUUCUUGACGAAGAAGUGUCGUGUGUCGAUGAAGUCGUUAUAGAUGCUGAUCCAGGUUAGAAGUUGUUCUUCGAUGGAGCUGUCAAUAUGAAAGGAGUCUGAAUAGGUGCGGUUCUUAUCUCUGAAUUGGGACAACAUUUCCUGGUAACAGCAUAACUUCGACUUUACUGUACUAACAACAUGGCAGAGUAUGAAGCUUGCAUUCUUGGUUUGAGGUUAGCUGUUGAUAUGGGAGUCCAGGAAUUAUUGGUGCUAGGGUAUUCAUAUUUGCUCUUCCAUCAAAUUUAAGGAGAUUGGGAGACGCGAGAUUUAAAGCUCAUCCUAUAUCGACAAUGCUUGCAGGAGUUAUGUCAACGGUUUGUGUUAGUAAAAUUUAGGCAUAUUCCAAGGAUUCAUAAUGAAAUUGUUGAUGCUUUAGCCACUCUGUCUUCAAUGCUCCAACAUCCUAAUAAAGCCUACAUCAAUCCUUUGCAUAUACAGAGUCGUGGUUAGCAUGCUUACUGUAAUGCGGUUGAAGAAGAGCUCGAUGGAGAACCCUGGUUCUUGGAUAUCAAGCGAUACAUGCAGUCAAGAGAAUACCCAACAUAUGCCACCAACGAUCAAAAGGGGACUAUUAAGCGUUUGGCUAGUGGAUUUUUCUUAAGUGGGGGGAUCUUAUAUAAGAGAUCCCCAGAUCUGGGACUUUUGAGAUGUCUAGAUGCAAGAGAAGCCUCGACAAUCAUAGUUAAAAUACACUUUUGAGUAUGCGGGUCGCAUAUGAACGGUCAUGUCUUGUCAAAGAAAAUUCUUCGAGUAGGUUAUUACUGGCUUACUAUGGAGAGAGAUUCUAUUUGAUUUGUUCGAAAGUGUCAUCAAUGUCAGGUACACGGUGAUCUGAUACGUUCUCCUCCUGCUGAUUUACAUGCAAUGGUCGCUCCACGGCCGUUUGUGGCUUGGGGAAUGGAUGUGAUUGGACCGAUUGAGCCGAAGGCAUCAAAUGGACAUAGAUUCAAUUUAGUAGCCAUUGAUUACUUCACAAAGUGGGUAGAAGCAGUAACUUUCAAGUCAGUGACAAAGAAGGUUGUGGUAGANNNNNNNNNNNNNNNNNNNNNNNNNNNNNNNNNNNNNNNNNNNNNNNCAAUAGUCAUUUGACGCAAGAAGUGUGUCAACAGUUUAAGAUCGCACAUCAAAAUUCUACUCCAUAUCGCCCAAAGGCCAAUGGUGCUGUAGAAGCCGCUAAUAAGAAUAUAAAAAAAAUACUACAAAAAAUGUUACAAGGGUCUAGACAAUGGCAUGAAAAGUUAUCGUUUGCAUUGCUAGAUCAUCGCACCACUGUUCGCACUUCAACAGGGGCAACUCCAUAUUUAUUGGUAUAUGGGACAGGAGCAGUCAUCCCUACAGAAGUUGAAAUUCCCUCUCUUCGAGUCAUUGUAGAAGCAGAGAUUGAUGAUGACGAAUGGGUAAAAACUCGACUGGAGUAUUUGAGUUUGAUUGAGAAAAAAAGGCUAACGUCUGUGUGUCAUGGCCAGUUGUAUCAGAGGAGGAUGGCUCGAGCGUAUAACAAAAAGGUCCAUCCCAGGAAUUUUGAAGUUGGUUAGUUGGUAUUAAAAUGUAUCCUUCCUCACCAGGUUGAAGCGAAAGGCAAGUUCUCCCCUAACUGGCAAGGUCCCUUCGUUGUGAAGAAAGUGUUGCCCAAUAGAACCUUAUAUUUGACAGAUAUUAAAGGCCAAAUGGCAGAAAUGGCUAUCAAUGCUGAUGCGGUCAAAAGAUAUUAUGUAUGAUAUUUUAUCCUUUGUUGAUUUUAUUGCAUGUUUAGUACUUGCAUUUUUUAAGAUUGAUAUGAUGAAGGCAUUUUAUUCUUCUAUCUCCAAACAUCGUGUCAACCUUUGUUUACCCGUUUGAGCUUUGUUUUAAUUUUCUUUCAUAUCCCUCUUUUGGAAUCAAAAUAGAGUCAAAGAUAAAUGUCAAGAAAAUAAAAAUAAAAGAAAGAGUUCGAAAAAAAUCAAAAUAAAGAACAAGCUUAUGGAACUACGUGCGACCUGAUUCUCCUCUCUCGGAAGUGAGAUACGUAGGCUGUCCUAUUUUGGACUCGGUCCAACUAAAUAAAGAUUUUAGAGUCACCCAGUCAACAAAAACUGGGGCAUGAGUUAAUGUGUUGUUUGAGUCGAUUCCAAAAUUUGUAAGUCCCACCCCGCUUUAAGUGUCGUUUGAACCUCUUGCCAUCCUUUUCUAAUCUUAUCCGAAAGCCAAGUUACAACCAAAGAAAGUCCUUCAGAUCAAUUUUUGAUAAUGUUAAGGCUAAACAUGCAAUGGAUAUGAUGAUACAUUGUGAGGUACCACUUGUCUCCCUCAGCGUAAGAAAUCAGAAAAGAAAUACAAAAUGAGAGAGAGUCUUAUUGGUGAAAACCCCCGUGGGCAUCAUAAGGAGAUGGUGAGUUGAGAAAAAUGAAAAUGAGAGAGUCUUAUUAGUGAAACCCUCACAGGCACCAUAAGGUGAUGGUGAGUGGAGAGAAAUAAAAAUGAGAGAGUCUUAUUGGUGAAAAUCCCCACGGGCACCGUAAGGCGAUGACGAGUUCAAGAGAAAAGUGAAAAGUGAAAAGAAAGAGAUUUGUUGGCGAAAGUCUUUUAAGAUGUCAUCAAUUGAAUGUGAUGUAUGAGUCCAAUAGAUUUAAAGAAGCGGCUCAGCGGCAAAGGCACGAACUCAACAACAAAUGGGGAGUUUGGAUAGAAAGAUCAGGCAGCUUAAUCCAAAAUGCAUGUCAUACUCAUUGGAGUGGGUUGUCGUAUUCAGAUCAGUAUUUUUUUUUGAAUAUGGGACAUUGCCCUUUUCUUUCAUUUACAUAUUCAAGCUUUUUGUCUUUUUAUGUCUUAUCAAAAUAAAAGUCACCAUCAUUUCUUUACAUUUUAAGUCAAGUCUGUGUCAAAACAAGUGAGAAAGGAUUUCAAAUUUACUACCAGUCUUUCCAAUUAUAUGAGGAAAAGCCAAGGACCAGCACAUGAAAGAAAUAUGAUCGUAAUUCAACGCGAAGCAAAGGAAUUCUAUCAACCGACAGGCUAUUGGAUUCGUGGAAGCAUUCAGAUUUAGGAAAAGGGUGCAUCUCAGAGGCAUAGUAAAAUGGAAAUUCAUUGUUCGAGUCUGAACUCAUUUUCCUCAAUCUGAAUCCGGGUCAAUGAUGCGGUAAGACAGGGCAAGUGUCAGCGAUUUGGAACAAAGAUGAAACAAACGAGUGCUGGGGCAGAUACCUGAGAAACCAAGAGCUGUAAGCCGCCACUAAGUUUUUAACUGAUAAAUUUUCAUUAUUGAAAUAGGGGCAAAUUUGCUUCACUUAAUUCAGCUACCAUUGGAAAUGCACAUUCGUGAGAUUUUACUUCCUGUUCAGGACCCUCCUGAAAAAUGGGACUUUACUUUCUGCUCAAGACCCUCCUGAAAAAUGGGACUUUACCUUUUGUUCAGGACCCACCUGAAAAAUGAGAUUAUACUGUCUGUUCAAGAUCCUCCUAAAAAAUGGGAUUCUACUUUCUGCUCAGGACCCUCCUGAAAAAUGGGACUUUAUUCUCUGUUCAGGACUCUCCUGAAAAAUGAGAUUUUACUUUCAGUUCAGGACCCUCCUGAAAAAUGGAAAUUUACUUUAUGUUCAGGACCCUCCUGAAAAAUGAGAUUUUACUUUCUGUUCAGGAUCCUCUUGAAAAAUGGGACUUUACUUUCUGAUCAGGACCCUCCUGAAAAAUGGGACUUUACUUUCUACUCAGGACCCUCCUAAAAAAUGGGGUUUUACUUUCUGUUCAGGAACCUCCUGAAAAUGGGACUUUACUUUCUGUUCAGGACCCUUCUGAAAAAUAGGACUUUACUUCCAGUUCAGGACCCUCCUAAAAAAUGAGACUUUACCUUCUGUUCAGGACUCUCCUGAAAAAUGAGAUUUUACUUUCUGUUCAGGGCGCUCCUGAAAAAUGAGAAUUUACUUUAUGUUCAGGACCCUCCUGAAAAAUGGGAUUUUACUUUCUGUUCAAGACCCUCCUGAAAAAUGGGACUUUACUCUCUGUUCAGGACCCUCCUGAAAAAUGGGAUUUUACUUUCUGUUCAAGACCCUCCUGAAAAAUGGGACUUUACUCUCUGUUCAGGACCCUCCUGAAAAAUGGGAUUUUACUUUCUGUUCAAGACCCUCCUGAAAAAUGGGACUUUACUUUCUGUUCAGGACCCUUCUGAAAAAUGGGAUUUUACUUUAAGUUCCGGACCCUCCUAAAAAAUGGGACUUUACUUUCAAUUCAGGACCCUCCUGAAAAAUGAGAAUUUACUUUAUGUUCAGGACCCUCCUGAAAUAUGGAACUUUACUUUCAAUUCAGGACCCUCCUGAAAAAUGGAAAUUUACUUUAUGUUCAGGACCCUCCUGAAAAAUGAGAUUUUACAUUCAGUUCAGGACCCUCCUGAAAAAUGAGAUUUUACAUUCAGUUUAGGACCCUCCUGAAAAAUGGGAUUUUACUUUCUAUUCAGCACCCUCCUAAAGAAUGGGAAUUUACUUUCAGGUCAGGACCCUCCUGGACAAUGGGACAACGCUUUCAAAAAUGAAAUACUACUUUACUAUAAUUUUUAUUUGGGAUAAUUUUCGUUCUAGUUUUAAUUUUGGGUUUUAGGGGCCCGCCUGAAGAACAGGAUGAUGAAAUAGCAAGUCAGGGGCUCGCCUGAAGAACGGGGUGAUGAAAUAGCAAGUCAGGAGCCCGCCUGGAAAACAGAGUGAAGAAAUGAAAAGUCAAGCAAUAAAGUGAUGAAAUAGCUAGUCAGGAGCCCACCUGGAAAACAGGGUGAAGAAAUUGAAAGAUAAGCAACAACUUGAAGAAAUUGCAAGUCAGGAGACCGCCCGAAGAAUAGGGUGAUGAAACUGGAGUCAAGAACCAACAGAAGCUGUAUAGAUAGGAUUUUGUAAUUUCAUUUAUAUUUUAACUUGUAAUUUUCAUUUUUGAUGUAAUGACAGAGCUGCUGACCAGAACCUCGAUGGAACCUUACUCGACUCUCCAACUCGGUAUAGUCCACUUCUCUUCCAACCCUUUGAGAUACUUGUGACUUCCUCAUGACUUGGGUAGAUAGGGUGUCCGACAGGAUUCAGUUGUCUUUCUUCCUUCUGUUUCUUUCUUUGAAUAAUGGUCGGGUCAAAAUUUGGUCUCGUUGUCUACUUCUUUGUCUGAAAACACUUCAUGUUUACAUUCAAAUGGGGCAUGCUGUAGACACCUAAUUUUGCCCCUCCCAAGUCCAAUUUUAUUCAUUUUUUUACCUCAUUUUAUCAUACACCUUUACCCACGUGAUUAUACCGUCCAUAAAAUGACAAAAAUAAUAAAAUCCCUAACCAACUUUUAUCCUAUCCUAACCCCCUUUACACCUCAUCCAAACAACAUACCCAAUCAAAAAUAAACACAUCACCCAUACCCCUACCCUCACCACCCCAUACCCCACAUCACCCCCUAACCCUAUCUGCACGUUUUUUUAAUACAAGCCAUAGAUAGAAUUCACAGAGGCAGACUCCCGAUUCCAUUUUUUUUCAAGAGAAUUCACUGAAAAAACUAUGUAAGAACCUUCACACUACACCCAUGAGAUAAUGGUUUUUUCCAUGGAAUAAGGGAGAGAUCACCAGAAUUCGCACAGCCUACCGGAGAAAAAUAGGGUACACACACUAGACACAAUUUUUUUUCCUUCUUAAAAAAACAGUCAGUAAAUAGACUCCUCCAUCAACGCACAGAAAAUGGGGUAGAUCGAGAGAGAGGGAGAGUAGAAGAGGGGGAGGGAGUAGAUCGAUAGAGAGAGACGAAAAAGGAUCGAAUAGCGAGCUAAGAUAGGUGUCGGCGAGAGCAGAUCUCAUCGCGAAGGAGGUAUUCUCUAGCAAUUUUUCGCCUGAAGUCCAUCGGAAUCGCCCCCUAGAAACGUUAAAAGUACCGGUUCGGCUAUUGUUCCGGUGAAACUCGACGGAAAAACAAUACCAACAGCUUCAUCCCGACCCAAAGUCGCGCUCAAGGGUCUUCCCUUUUUCAGAUUUCAGGUGAAUCCUACUAAAAAAGUUGGUUUUGGCCACCAAAAACCAUGUAAAUCGAUCAAUCGUGGCUGACUCCGUCAAAGUCUCGCCGGAAAAGGUUCAUACAUUUUUUGGGUUUAUUUUUUAAGCUUUAGGUGUUCCUCUGUUCUUUCUUGGAUUUCUUCGUUCGAAUCGGAUUUUGGAUUUGUUUUCUUUGGGGCUGAUUCAUAACCGAUCGGGGGAGUCGAGGUUUUGGUCUUCAAGGUUCUCGAGAAGGCUCUUAUCCUCUAUUAAGUCAAUCGAAAGCUCUUGAGGUCCAAUUCUACCUUUUCUUCUUCUUCUUCUUCU
rnacentral:lncRNA from 1 species